rnacentral:RNase_P_RNA from 1 species
AAUGGUUGCGCGCGCAGAAAGCGAUUUCGCGUGUGAGGAAAGUCCGGGCUCCAUAGGGCAGGAUGCAAGCUAACGGCUUGCGGAGGCGACUUCAGGGAAAGUGCAACAGAAAUAUACCGCCCGAUUUAUCGGGUAAGGGUGAAAAGGCGAGGUAAGAGCUCACCCACCCCUGUGGUGACACAGGGGUGCUGUAAACCCCAUCCGGAGCAACGCCUGAUACGGAGGCUAAGUUUGCCCGACAUCUCCGAAUACGGCGGCUUGAGACAUAUGGUGACAUAUGUACCAGAUAGAUGACCAUUCAUGACAGAACCCGGCUUACGGUCUG